rnacentral:rRNA from 1 species
CAAUAGCGUAUAUUAAAGUUGUUGCAGUUAAAAAGCUCGUAGUUGGAUUUCUGGUGGGAGCGAUCGGUCUGGCGCUUAGCGCGAGUACUUGCAUCGUCUCCGGCCAUCCUUGGGGAGAGUCUGUCUGGCAUUAGGUUGUCGGGCAGAGGAUCCUCAUCGUUUACUGUGAAAAAAUUAGAGUGUUCAAAGCAGGCUUAUGCCGUUGAAUAUAUUAGCAUGGAAUAAUAAGAUAAGACUUUGGUACUAUUUUGUUGGUUUGCGCACCAAAGUAAUGAUUAAUAGGGACAGUUGGGGGUAUUCGUAUUCCGUUGUCAGAGGUGAAAUUCUUGGAUUUACGGAAGACGAACUACUGCGAAAGCAUUUACCAAGGAUGUUUUCAUUAA